ensembl:lncRNA
CCCAUUUAAGAACUGACUCCCAAGGAGGAAGGAUCUCCAGAUAGAGAUCUAUCUGGAACCUCUUGGAACCCUUCUGUGAGCUUAGGACAUGGACUGCACUAACUGCAUGGUGAUGUGGCACUCGUGUUCUUGGAAAAAAACGCCUGGUGAAGGCCUAAAGGUGUGCUCCUGUAGGAAGUGUCUCAUCUGAAGUAGCGUCGAGCACCCACAGACCUCAAACAAGCCGCUUCCGCUUCGGCAAAAGUUUGAAUACUUUCUAGAGAAACAUACUAAACAUGGUCAAAAAUAAUCUUGUUGCAAUAAAACUCCUUUUAAACUCUAUCUUCAUUUCCGACCCUGUACAGAAUAAAAUUCAAGUCAUUAACCAUAGCUUUUAAGGUUUCAUGUGUGUGCCUCCCUAUAUUCUCUGCCCUUUUUGGAGCUACUAAAUAACAGUAAUAAUAAAAAUGGCCUCUGGCAUUCCCUUGAAAUUUCUUGUCAUUCAGUGUCAAAACCUAAUUUGCUACUGCCCCUCUCAUUUAGAUUCAUAAACUUAAAUUUGCAAAUCCUUCAUUCCCUCUCUAGGUAUGUGAAAUUUAAAUGAGUUCAUUAUAAAAAUAAAUACUUUUCCAACUGAUAGAUAUGUAAGCUCUAUGCCAACAGCUAUGCCAAGACUGUCGAA